GAUGAACGCUGGCGGCGUGCCUAAUACAUGCCAGUCGAGCGAACGGACGAGCAGCUUGCUUUUCUGAUGUUAGCGGCGGACGGGUGAGUAACACGUGGAUAACCUCCCUAUAAGACUGGGAUAACUUCGGGAAACCGGAGCUAAUACCGGAUAAUAUUUUGAACCGCAUGGUUCAAAAGUGAAAGACGGUCUUGCUGUCACUUAUAGAUGGAUCCGCACUGAAUUAGCUAGUUGGUAAGGUAACGGCUUACCAAGGCAACGAUGCAUAGCCGACCUGAGAGGGGGGUCGGCCACACGUGAACUGAGACACGCUCCUGACUCCUACGGGAGGCAGCAGUGGGUAAUCUUCCGCAAUGGGCGAAAGCCUGACGGAGCAACGCCGCGUGAGUGAUGAAGGUCUUCGGAUCGUAAAACUCUGUUAUUAGGGAAGAACAUAUGUGUAAGUAACUGUGCACAUCUUGACGGUACCUAAUCAGAAAGCCACGGCUAACUACGAG
rnacentral:rRNA from 1 species